UACGGAGGGUGCAAGCGUUAUCCGGAUUCACUGGGUUUAAAGGGCGCGUAGGCGGCUGGGGAAGUCGGCGGUGAAAGCCCGGAGCUCAACUCCGGGUCGGCCGUCGAGACUCCUCGGCUCGAGCUCACUAGAGGCAGAUGGAAUUCCGGGUGUAGCGGUGGAAUGCGUAGAGAUCCGGAAGAACACCGGUGGCGAAGGCGGUCUGCUGGGGUGAGGCUGACGCUGAUGCGCGACAGCGUGGGGAGCAAACAGG
rnacentral:rRNA from 1 species